UGGGGAAUUUUGGACAAUGGGCGAAAGCCUGAUCCAGCAAUGCCGCGUGUGUGAAGAAGGCCUUCGGGUUGUAAAGCACUUUUGUCCGGAAAGAAAUCCUUGGCUCUAAUACAGUCGGGGGAUGACGGUACCGGAAGAAUAAGCACCGGCUAACUACGUGCCAGCAGCCGCGGUAAUACGUAGGGUGCAAGCGUUAAUCGGAAUUACUGGGCGUAAAGCGUGCGCAGGCGGUUUGCUAAGACCGAUGUGAAAUCCCCGGGCUCAACCUGGGAACUGCAUUGGUGACUGGCAGGCUAGAGUAUGGCAGAGGGGGGUAGAAUUCCACGUGUAGCAGUGAAAUGCGUAGAGAUGUGGAGGAAUACCGAUGGCGAAGGCAGCCCCCUGGGCCAAAUACUGACGCUCAUGCACGAAAAGCGUGGGGAGCAAAACAGGAUUAGAUACCCUGGUAGUCCACGCCCUAAAACGAUGUCAACUAGUUGUUGGGGGAUUCAUUUCCUUAGUAACGUAGCUAACGCGUGAAG
rnacentral:rRNA from 1 species